rnacentral:rRNA from 1 species
UACGAAGGGUGCUAGCGUUGUUCGGAAUUACUGGGCGUAAAGCGCGCGAGGCGGCUAUCCAAGUCAGGGGUGAAAUCCUUGGGCUCAACCCAAGAAUUGCCCUUGAAACUGGAUAGCUAGAGUGUCGGAGGGGAUAGCGGAAUUGCUAAUGUAGAGGUGAAAUUCGUAGAUAUUAGCAGGAACACCGGUGGCGAAGGCGGCUAUCUGGACGACAACUGACGCUGAGACGCGAAAGCGUGGGGAGCAAACAGG